rnacentral:rRNA from 1 species
GCAAGUCGAACGGCAGCAUGGUCUAGCUUGCUAGACUGAUGGCGAGUGGCGGACGGGUGAGUAACGCGUAGGAAUAUGCCUUAUAGAGUGGGAUAACUUGGGGAAACUCAAGCUAAUACCGCAUAAUUUCUUCGGACUAAAGCUGGGGACCUUUUAAGGCCUGGCGCUAUAAGAUUAGCCUGCGUGCGAUUAGCUAGUUGGUAGGGUAAAGGCCUACCAAGGCGACGAUCGCUAGCUGGUCUGAGAGGAUGGCC